rnacentral:piRNA from 1 species
UGAGAACCAAUGAUAGAUGGAUCAGC